rnacentral:rRNA from 1 species
AAUGAACGCUGGCGGUAGGCCUAACACAUGCAAGUCGAACGGCAGCACAGUAAGAGCUUGCUCUUACGGGUGGCGAGUGGCGGACGGGUAAGGAAUACAUCAGAAUCUACGUUUUCUGGGGUGAUCACGGAGGGAAACUUACGCUAAUACCGCAUACGACGUACGGGUGAAACCACGGGAUCUUCGGACCUUGCGCGAGUGUAUGAGCCCAUGUCGGAUUAGCUAGGUGGCGGGGUAAAGGCCCACCAAGGCGACGAUCCGUAGCUGGUCUGAGAGGAUGAUCAGCCACACUGGAACUGAGACACGGUCCAGACUCCUACGGGAGGCAGCAGUGGGGAAUAUUGGACAACGGGCGGAAGCAUGACCCAGUCAUAGCGAGUGGGUGAAGAAGGCGUUCGGGUUGUAAAGACCUUUUGUGGGGAAUGAACCGCAGUAGGCUAAUACCAAGCGGUUGUGACGGUACCUACAGAAUAAGCACCGGCUAACUUCGUG